rnacentral:rRNA from 1 species
UACAGAGGGGGCAAGCGUUGUUCGGAAUUACUGGGCGUAAAGGGCGCGUAGGCGGCCUCUUAAGUCGAACGUGAAAUCCCCGGGCUCAACCCGGGAACUGCGUCCGAUACUGGGAGGCUUGAAUCCGGGAGAGGGAUGUGGAAUUCCAGGUGUAGCGUUGAAAUGCGUAGAUAUCUGGAGGAACACCGGUGGCGAAGGCGACAUCCUGGACCGGUAUGGACGCUGAGGCGCGAAAGCCAGGGGAGCAAACGGG